rnacentral:rRNA from 1 species
GUGUCUAACACAUGCAAGUCGAACGAGAAAGUGGAGCAAUCCAUGAGUAAAGUGGCGACCGGGUGAGUAACACGUGACUAACCUACCUCCGAGUGGGGAAUAACUCCGGGAAACCGGGGCUAAUACCGCAUAACAUCGCAAGAUCAAAGCAGCAAUGCGCUUGGAGAGGGGGUCGCGGCUGAUUAGCUAGUUGGCGGGGUAACGGCCCACCAAGGCGAAGAUCAGUAUCCGGCCUGAGAGGGCGCACGGACACACUGGAACUGAAACACGGUCCAG